rnacentral:lncRNA from 1 species
CUUUCUUGUUUUAAGAACUUUUUUUUUUAUGUUCAAAGAUCAAAUUUGUAAGACCGUUAAUUCUAUAAAAAUAAUCCAAAUUAUAUAUAUUUUUUUCUUUUUUUGAAAUUUUAUUUAUUAUUAAUAUUUUUAGAUGAUAUUUUUAAGUAAAAAAAAUCAUAUUUGCAUAUGUUCUAAGAAAAAUCAAAUUUCACAUUUUAUUACAUAUUCAAAAUUAAUACUCU